CCUACGGGUGGCAGCAGUGGGGAAUAUUGGACAAUGGGGGCAACCCUGAUCCAGCCAUGCCGCGUGUGUGAAGAAGGCCCUCGGGUUGUAAAGCACUUUCAGUGAGGAAGAACGCCUGGUGGUUAAUACCCAUCAGGAAAGACAUCACUCACAGAAGAAGCACCGGCUAACUCCGUGCCAGCAGCCGCGGUAAUACAGAGGGUGCGAGCGUUAAUCGGAAUUACUGGGCGUAAAGCGCGCGUAGGUGGCUUGAUAAGCCGGUUGUGAAAGCCCCGGGCUCAACCUGGGAACGGCAUCCGGAACUGUCAAGCUAGAGUGCAGGAGAGGAAGGUAGAAUUCCCGGUGUAGCGGUGAAAUGCGUAGAGAUCGGGAGGAAUACCAGUGGCGAAGGCGGCCUUCUGGACUGACACUGACACUGAGGUGCGAAAGCGUGGGUAGCAAACAGGAUUAGAUACCCCAGUAGUC
rnacentral:rRNA from 1 species